rnacentral:rRNA from 1 species
GACGAACGCUGGCGGCGUGCUUAACACAUGCAAGUCGAACGGAAAGGCCCUGCUUUUGUGGGGUGCUCGCGUGGCGAACGGGUGAGUAACACGUGAGUAACCUGCCCUUGACUUUGGGAUAACUUCAGGAAACUGGGGCUAAUACCGGCUAGGAGCUCCUGCUGCAUGGUGGGCGUUGGAAAGUUUAGGCGGUUGGGGGUGGACUCGCGGGUUAUCAGCUUGUUGGUGGGGUAGUGGCUUACCAAGGCUUUGACGGAUAGCCGGCCUGAGAGGGUGGACGGCGACAUGGGGACUGAGGUACGGCGCAGAGUGCUACGGUAGGCAGCAGUGGGGAAUAUUGCACAAUGGGCGGAAGCCUGAUGCAGCGACGCCGCGUGCGGGAUGACGGCCUUCGGGUUGUAAACCGCAUUCGCCUGUGACGAAGCGUGAGUGACGGUAAUGGGUAAAGAAGCACCGGCUAACUACGUG